CACAGCAGCUGCACGUCCCUGGGAUCCACAUCUCUUCCAGUUUGCAGCGUAGCCCGAGUCGGUCAGCGCCGGAGGACCUCAGCAGCCAUGUCGAAGCCCCAUAGUGAAGCCGGGACUGCCUUCAUUCAGACCCAGCAGCUGCAUGCAGCCAUGGCUGACACAUUCCUGGAGCACAUGUGCCGCCUGGACAUUGACUCACCACCCACCACAGCCCGGAACACUGGCAUCAUCUGUACCAUUGGCCCAGCUUCCCGAUCAGUGGAGACGUUGAAGGAGAUGAUUAAGUCUGGAAUGAAUGUGGCUCUUCUGAACUUCUCUCAUGGAACUCAUGAGUACCACGCGGAGACUAUCAAGAAUGUGCGCACAGCCACGGAAGGCUUUGCUUCUGACCCCAUCCUCUACCGGCCCGUUGCUGUGGCUCUGGACACUAAAGGACCUGAGAUUCGAACUGGGCUCAUCAAGGGCAGUGGCACUGCAGAGGUGGUGCUGAAGAAGGGAGCCACUCUCAAAAUCACGCUGGAUAACGCCUACAUGGAAAAGUGUGACGAGAACAUCCUGUGGCUGGACUACAAGAACAUCUGCAAAGUGGUGGAAGUGGGCAGCAAGAUCUACGUGGAUGAUGGACUUAUUUCUCUUCAGGUGAAGCAGAAAGGUGCUGACUUCCUGGUGACGGAGGUGGAAAAUGGUGGCUCCUUGGGCAGCAAGAAGGGUGUGAACCUUCCUGGGGCUGCUGUGGACUUGCCUGCUGUGUCGGAAAAGGACAUCCAGGAUCUGAAGUUUGGGGUCGAGCAGAAUGUCGAUAUAGUGUUUGCGUCGUUCAUCCUCAAGGCAGCUGAUGUCCAUGAAGUUAGGAAGGUCCUGGGAGAGAAGGGAAAGAACAUCAAGAUAAUCAGCAAAAUCGAGAAUCAUGAGGGGGUUCGGAGGUUUGAUGAAAUCCUGGAGGCCAGUGAUAGGAUCAUGGUGGCUCGUGGUGAUCUAGGCAUUGAGAUUCCUGCGGAGAAGGUCUUCCUUGCUCAGAAGAUGAUGAUUGGGUGGUGCAACCGAGCUGGGAAGCCUGUCAUCUGUGCUACUCGGAUGCUGGAGAGCAUGAUCAAGAAGCCCCGCCCCACCUGGGCUGAAGGCAGUGAUGUGGCCAAUUCAAUUCUGGAUGGAGCCGACUGCAUCAUGCUGUCUGGAGAAACAGCCAAAGGGGACUAUCCUCGGGAGGCUGUGCACAUGAAGCACCUGAUUGCCCGUGAAGCAGAGGCCGCCAUCUACCACUUGCAAUUAUUUGAGGAACUCCGCCGCCUGGCGCCCAUUACCAGGGACCCCACAGAAGCCACUGCCGUGGGUGCCGUGGAGGCCUCCUUCAAGUGCUGCAGUGGGGCCAUAAUCGUCCCCACCAAGUCUGGCAGGUCUGCUCACCAGAUACCGCCCACAUGCCCCCAUCAUUGCUGUGACCCGGAAUCCCCAGACAGUUCGUCAGGCCCACCUGUACUGUGGCAUCUUCCCUGUGCUGUGCAAGGACCCAGUCCAGGAGGCCUGGGCUGAGGACGUGGACCUCCAGGUGAACUUUGCCAUGAAUGUUGGCAAGGCCCAAGGCUUCUUCAAGAAGGGAGAUGUGGUCAUCGUGCUGACCGGAUGGCGCCCUGGCUCCGGCUUCACCAACACCAUGCGUGUUGUUCCUGUGCCGUGAUGAACCUGAGAGCCCUUCCUCCAGCCCCUGUCCCACUCCCUUCCCCCAACCCAUCCAUUAGGCCAGCAACGCUUGCAGAACUCACUCUGGGCUGUAAUGUGGCACUGGCGGGCUGGGACACCAGGGAAGAAGAUUAGUGCCUCGCUGAAACAUGGCUGUGUUUGCAGCCUGCUCUAGUGGGACAGCCCAGAGCCUGGCUGCCCAUCAUGUGGCCCCACCCAAUCAAGGGAAGAAGGAGGAAUGCUGGACUGGAGGCCCCUGGAGCCAGAUGGCAAGAGGGUGACAGCUUCCUUUCCUGUGUAUACUCCGUCCAGUUCCUUGAGAAAAAAUGGAUGCCCAGAGGACUCCCAACCCUGGCCUGGGGUCAGGAAACAGCUAGAGAGUUAGGGGCCUUAGGGCACAGGGCUGUUGUUCCCUUGAAGCUGACUCUGGCCCUGGCCCUUACUUGCUUCCCCAGCCCCCUGGGCCUCCCUAGUUCGCACCUGUCCACGCCCUCCACUCAGCUGUCCUGCAGCAAACACUCCACCCUCCACCUUCCAUUUUCCCCCACUACUGCAGACUACUGCAGCGCCUCCAGGCCUGUUGCUAUAGAGCCUACCUGUAUGUCAAUAAACAACAGCUGAAGCAAAAAAAAAAAAAAAAAAAAA